rnacentral:rRNA from 1 species
ACUUUUAGAUAAUGUAGUUGAAUCCUAGACUUUAUGUAGGCAUGAGUUGUCUUUAGUUAUGAUUUUAUCUACAUGACUUAAUUGUCCAGAUCUUGUCUGAUUUAGACGAUCUUGUUGACAAUAGUGUAUACACCGGCUAUUUGGUUUGAUCAUGAUGGUCAUGAUCACUCGUAACAAAGAUAGCGUACGUGUACAGGACGACCUCGGACUAACGGGGGGACGGUGUGCGGAUGUGUCCGUGUACGGUGAAUAACGAAGGGUCGGACCGCUUCCCUAUUCCUCUGCUGGCCUGCUGGUGGUUGGUAUGUCCACCUCUCGUGUGCCCGUGUCGGCUGGCCGGCCGGCGUAGUGGCCGCCGCUCUUCUUGAGGGCGGUACGAGUAGGAGUCUCCCUCUCAGCGGCCCCGACACCCACGGCAAGCGUUCAGGUUCUUCCGGUUCGCGUCGUCCCGAGGUACACGGCCCCGCCGGCCUCACCGGCGAGCUGCCACCCGAACGGUCGCCCUGCGGCUCUCGGUACUCGGCUGCCGCUCGCGGGCACGCUCCGCUCCCGCCUCCUCACCGGCCGCAGCCCAAGCCGUCCAUGCCGCGCUGCCGCAGCUGUAGCUGUUGGCGCACACCAACCUCCUCGGCAAGAGCGGUCUUGGCCAGCCACGCCUGUGCUUCCGCUCACGCAGCGGGAGCGCUUGGACGUGCGCCCCACGUAGGCCCCGCGAACAGAGGCAACCUUCGUCGUCUCCGCGCCACAGCCGUCGGCGUCCGCGUGCUGCCCCUGUGCCCGGGGUUGGCACCAUGACCGUCGUAGGGCCGCCGGUGCUCCGGAGCUCACGGACCAGCCGCAGGAGUUCGUAACCGCGGCAUGCUGGUAAGUCCUCGGUCCGUCCUUGGCGGCCAAGGUAUCCGACGUGCCGGCCGGGUUCACGGACGUGGCCGUCGCCGCGCUGUCUGACGACGCGCCGGCCGUGUUUCCGGACUUGGCCGCCGCGGCAGCAUCACAAGACCACCACUGCUGCUCUCCACGCUACGGGAGGAAGUGGCACCGCCGCCAUCGGAGGUAGUGGCAUUCGCUGCAGGCAACUUUGCUGACUGCCCGCAAACGUGCCAACUCCGCUGCGACCAAGGUUGGAGGUGCGGCCUUUGCCGCUUCCAGAGCGUGAACUGUGGCCUUCGCCGCCACCGCGCGCUACUUUGCCGCCGCCGUCGGAAUCAGUGCUUCCUCAUCGUCCUUCUCUCUUUCUUCGCGUCCGUAACGCAUAGGUUUCCUCCGCUGAUAAGGACUUUCCAACCGAGGUUUCCAACGUUGCGAGGUCCCUCUUUUAGCGAGGUAGCCAACCUUGACGGACA